CAGCCGCCGCGGUAAUACCGGCGGCCCGAGUGGCGGUCACUAUUAUUGGGCUUAAAGCGUCCGUAGCCGGGUUGGGAAGUCCUCCGGGAAAUCUGGCCGCUUAACGGUCAGAAUGCCGGAGGAUACUCCCAGCCUAGGGAGCGGGAGAGGCCGAGGGGAUUCCCGGGGUAGGGGUGAAAUCCUAUAAUCCCGGGAUGACCACCUGUGGCGAAGGCGCUCGGCUGGAACGCGGCCGACGGUGAGGGACGAAGGCCAGGGGAGCAAACCGGAUUAGAUACCCGGGUAGUCCUGGCUGUAAACGAUGCGGACUUUGUGUCGGACAAGCUAUGAGCUUGUCCGGUGCCGGAGGGAAACCGUUAAGUCCGCCGCCUGGGGAGUACGGCCGCAAGGCUGAAACUUAAAGGAAUUGGCGGG
rnacentral:rRNA from 1 species